AACCUAGCACACCUGCGGUGUGUACCUGCGGAAGGAUCAUUAAAAAAAACUUUUGCCCCUCGCGACCUUCGCGGUCCGAGGGCAAAAAAAAACCCACACUGUGUGCACCGUUACCGUUUUCUUUGGCAGGGGCUUGGGGUGCGUUUUCGCGUACCUCAACUUCUCUGGCUCUAUCCCAAUGGUGUUUAUAAUCUCUUCGCGGGGUUUCUCAUUUUGGGACAGCCGGGCAUGGGAAGCCGU
rnacentral:misc_RNA from 1 species